rnacentral:tRNA from 1 species
GUCGGGAUAGCUCAGCUGGYAGAGCAGAGGAUCGAAAAUCCCU